rnacentral:rRNA from 1 species
CCUACGGGUGGCAGCAGUGAGGAAUAUUGGUCAAUGGGCGAGAGCCUGAACCAGCCAAGUCGCGUGAAGGAUGACGGCCCUACGGGUUGUAAACUUCUUUUGUCAGGGAGCAAUUGAGUCCACGUGUGGUCUUAGCGAGAGUACCUGAAGAAAAAGCAUCGGCUAACUCCGUGCCAGCAGCCGCGGUAAUACGGAGGAUGCGAGCGUUAUCCGGAUUUAUUGGGUUUAAAGGGUGCGUAGGCGGUUUUAUAAGUUAGAGGUGAAAAUUCGGGGCUCAACUCCGGACGUGCCUCUAAUACUGUAUGACUAGAGAAUAGAUGCGGUAGGCGGAAUGUAUGGUGUAGCGGUGAAAUGCGUAGAGAUCAUACAGAACACCGAUUGCGAAGGCAGCUUACCAAACUAUAUCUGACGUUGAGGCACGAAAGCGUGGGGAGCAAACAGGAUUAGAUACCCGAGUAGUC